rnacentral:rRNA from 1 species
GACGAACGCUGGCGGCGUGCCUAACACAUGCAAGUCGAACGGAACUGUUUUGACAGAUUUCUUCGGAAUGAAUUUGAUUUAGUUUAGUGGCGGACGGGUUAGUAACGCGUGAGUAACCUGCCUUCAAGAGGGGAAUAACAUUCUGAAAAGAAUGCUAAUACCGCAUGACAUAUCGGAACCACAUGGUUUUGAUAUCAAAGAUUUUAUCGCUUGAAGAUGGACUCGCGUCCGAUUAGUUAGUUGGUGAGGUAACGGCUCACCAAGACCGCGAUCGGUAGCCGGACUGAGAGGUUGAACGGCCAAAUUGGGACUGAGACACGGCCCAGACUCCUACGGGAGGCAGCAGUGGGGGAUAUUGCGCAAUGGGGGCAACCCUGACGCAGCAACGCCGCGUGAAGGAUGAAGGUUUUCGGAUUGUAAACUUCUUUUAUUAAGGACGAAAAAUGACGGUACUUAAUGAAUAAGCUCCGGCUAACUACGUG